rnacentral:rRNA from 1 species
UACGAAGGACCCAAGCGUUAUCCGGAUUUAUUGGGUUUAAAGGGUGCGUAGGCGGAUUAGUAAGUCAGUGGUGAAAGCCUGCAGCUUAACUGCAGAACUGCCAUUGAAACUGCUUUUCUUGAGUGCAUUUGAAGUGAGCGGAAUGUGUCAUGUAGCGGUGAAAUGCUUAGAUAUGACACAGAACACCGAUUGCGAAGGCAGCUCACUAAACUGUAACUGACGCUGAGGCACGAAAGCGUGGGGAUCAAACAGG